CAGUAGCCGCGGGAAUACGGAGGAUCCAAGCGUUAUCCGGAAUUACUGGGCGUAAAGCGUGCGCAGGCGGUUCGGAAAGAAAGAUGUGAAAUCCCAGGGCUCAACCUUGGAACUGCAUUUUUAACUACCGGACUAGAGUAUGUCAGAGGGAGGUGGAAUUCCACGUGUAGCAGUGAAAUGCGUAGAGAUGUGGAGGAAUACCGAUGGCGAAGGCAGCCCCCUGGGCCAAUACUGACGCUCAUGCACGAAAGCGUGGGGAGCAAACAGGAUUAGAGACCCCAGUAGUCCCUGUCUCUUAUAC
rnacentral:rRNA from 1 species